UGCCAGCCGCCGCGGUAAUACGGAGGGUGCAAACGUUGUUCGGAAUCACUGGGCAUAAAGCGCACGUAGGCGGCUAGGUCAGUCCGUUGUGAAAGCCCCCGGCUCAACCGGGGAAUUGCAAUGGAUACUGCCUGGCUAGAGGACGGUUGGGGUGAGUGGAACUCCUGGUGGAGCGGUGAAAUGCGUAGAUAUCAGGAGGAACACCAGUGGCGAAAGCGGCUCACUGGACCGUAUCUGACGCUGAGGUGCGAAAGCUAGGGUAGCGAACGGGAUUAGAUA
rnacentral:rRNA from 1 species